UAAUAUACCUGCCUGCCACCAUGAUCACGAAGGUGGUUUUCCCAGGGCGAGGCUCAUCCAUUGCACUGCGGGUGUGCUGACCCCUGCGAUUUCCCCAAAUGCGGGAAACUCGACUGCAUAAUUUGUGGUAGUGGGGGACUGCGUUCGCGCUCUCCCCUG
rnacentral:snRNA from 1 species